rnacentral:misc_RNA from 1 species
UGGAGGGAACUCGGAUUUGGCGCGACGGGGGAUCUUGGGCGUGGUUUUCGAUACCGUGCGUAUCUCACAUCGGCGCUCGAUGCCACGCGGUUCGAUGCCGAGAGUGGAAUUACGGAGGGCCGCACCGCCGGAUUUGACUCCUCGCUUAGAAAUCCGGCAAAAGUGGCGCGGCUGGAGUUCGCCGGCGUUCGCAGGUUGACACUCGGCACUAGCUUCUAUUCGGGACACUCCGGAUUCAACACU